AUGAGGAAAACUGGAAAGGCUGUGUGGUAGCUUUAUUUAUAAUCCUUUAAAUCUAGGUAAAUUGCAUACAUUUGAAAUUUCUAUACAAAUAAUGUCACCAAGAGCUACCAGCCUGAGUCUAUUUGGUCUGGAUAACGAGACCACUUAACAGAGGAAGUCAAGAUAUGAACAAAGUGGUUAUUUCAUAGAUGAGGCCUGCCUUUUGGAACCUAAGCAUGUUACAAGAAGAUGGCACAUUAGAGACUCAGCUGGACAAAACCACCUUAACAGAAAGGGAGCCCAUCUUUGGAUCUUGCGAUAAAGAGUCCAACACAAAAGUCACCUCCUUGGAAGCCUCCUGAUCGACUAUCUUGCCUCUACAUAGGCAGAGGCUCUGAAAAGCAAGGAUAGCAUCAGCUCCCUGGGCAGCUGGCUAGCAGAGGAAGACAACCUGGCAGGUCUCCUCUGACAUCAAUUUGGUGGUGUGGGAAAUCAACUUACUACUUCCAGCAAAAGAGCAGCCUCAUCCUAGAAAGCAGAGGACACCCUUAAACUGUAGCAGAAUGCUCUUGUCCAUACUGAUAUUCUCUCUUUCCUAAUAGUUCUACUAGAAGAAUUAAUGUCAUGAAUUAUUUCCAUGAAGAAUCCAAGAAUUUGAAGAGAUUUUUCUUAUUUUUUGCAAUAUGAAGGGACAAUUCAAUACUAACCAAACCUCCUAGAUCUUUCAGACCAUUUCUACAACCACUAAUCCUCUCCUGACUCACCAACAAAAGCUACAAUAACAAAGAAGCAAGGGAUUCAUUUAUUAUAUAUAACAGUCUCUUCAGUACUUCUAAAAUAACUGCAAUUUUUUGUCAUUUAAAUGCCUUUGCAUUUAAAAUCGGGUCUAAUCCAAAUCUUUCUAAAUAGUUGGGAGAUAAAACUAAUAAAAAUGCAUUUAA